UGGGCUAUCGCCAAGCGGUAAGGCAAGGGAUUUUGAUUCCCUCAUUCGCCGGUUCGAAUCCGGCUAGCCUAA
rnacentral:tRNA from 1 species